CAAGACCUUGCGCUCUUGGAGCGNGCCGAUGUCUGAUUAGCUAGUUGGUGGGGUAACGGCUUNACCAAGGCGACGAUCAGUAGCUGGUCUGAGAGGACGACCAGCCACACUGGGACUGAGACACGGCCCAGACUCCUACGGGAGGCAGCAGUGGGGAAUUUUGGACAAUGGGGGAAACCCUGAUCCAGCCAUGCCGCGUGAGUGAAGAAGGCCUUCGGGUUGUAAAGCUCUUUCAGCCGGNAACGAAACGNGUCACGGCUAAUACCUGUGAUCACUGACGGUANNCCGGAAGAAGAAGCACCGGCUAACUACGUGCCAGCAGCCGCGGUAAUACGUAGGGUGCAAGCGUUAAUCGGAAUUACUGGGCGUAAAGCGUGCGCAGGCGGUUUUGNUAAGUCAGAUGUGAAAUCCCCGGGCUUAACCUGGGAACU
rnacentral:rRNA from 1 species